CUGCCCACCAACCAUGCUCUGAUGCAUUUGUAGUCUUUCAAAUGUGCACUUCUGCCUGGCGGCCUCCUCCUGGCUUCAGCCUUGAACCUCACCUUGAUUGCCACUUCCUUUGGGGAAACUCCUCUGAUGCUUUCCCUGGUGUAGGUAGCUCCCCCGCCUGAUGCCAUCACACCGUGGAACAGCCACAUUUCACUGUUAGGUCCUGGCCUCCCACAUCAGACUCUGAGCUCUACAAGGGCAGCUUUCUGUUCUGAGAGCCCAGACUUCCAGGUACUAGUCCUGAAGAAAAUGAAUUCUUCGAAGCUCGCCUGCAGAUUUCUUUUCUUGAGCACUACCCCUUCAUCCCUGCUUCCACAUGUGAGAUCCCCAGGGCUGGGAUAAAGGUGAAGUGAGCAAGUCAUCUAGGACACAACAUUGAAGGGGACACCACUCUCACAGUUUUGCAAAUACCUUCAGCUCCUCACUUGCCUCACCCUGGUCCUGGCCUGGAUGAUCAUAGGUACCUCACCUGGGUUCAUGGUGCAAAGUGUGAACAUUCAGUAUGGUGAACUGAAGAAAAACAAAAAUCGAAUGAGAAAUCAAAAAAGCAGAAUUUUCAUUUUGACUUUAUUACUAACUCAACAUGAUAUCAA
rnacentral:lncRNA from 1 species